UACCUUUGGUCGUGGUGGUGGUGGGAGUCGUGGUGGUGGUUGUGGUGGUGGUGGGAGUGGUGGUGGUGGGAGCCGUGGUGGUGGAGGCAAUCGUGGUGAUGGUGGUAGUGGUGGUGGUGGGAGUCAUGGUGGUGGUGGGAGUGGUGGUGGUGGUGGGAGUCGUGGUGGUGGAGGUGGUGGUGGGAGUCGUGGUGGUGGAGGUGGUGGUGGGAGUCGUGGUGGAGGUGGUGGUGGGAGUCGUGGUGGUGGAGGCAAUCGUGGUGGUGGUGGUAGUGGUGGUGGUGGGAGUCGUGGUGGUGGUGGGAGUCGUGGUGGUGGGAGUCGUGGUGGAGGUGGUGGUGGGAGUCGUGGUGGUGGAGGUGGUGGUGGUACCU
ensembl:lncRNA